rnacentral:lncRNA from 1 species
UUUUUGAAAUUAAAAUAAAUGCAAAAUUAAAAUGGUUAAAAUAUGGUCAAACCUCAAAUUCAAUUCCAAUCAACUCCAACAAGUCUAAUUGAAUCAUCAUAGGUCUAACAUGGUCAAACAAGGUUUGACAAAUUUUCUCAACAUUUUUUGAAAACAAAACUAUUUUAAAAUCAAUUAAAAACAAUAAAAUACAACGCAAAUGAAUUAAAAUCUCAAAUAAAUCUCAAAUUAAUUAAGAAACUGAUGAGAAUAAUUUCACAGACUUAUCAUGAUCCAUAUGUGUUAAGAAAAUAUUUUUGGAAUUUUUGGAUAUCAAAAAGUAAUUAAAAUGAAUUAAAAACUAUUAAAAACAAAAUAAUUCACAAAAAAUAUUAAAUGGAAUCACAAAGAAAAUAUUUUUGGAAUUUUUGGAUAUCAAAAAGUAAUUAAAAUGAAUUAAAAACUAUUAAAAACAAAAUAAUUCACAAAAAAUAUUAAAUGGAAUCACAAAAAUAAUUAAAAAUCAGAUUAUGAAUCUAGAUUUUUCAAGAAAAUUUUUAGUGUUGGUCUCAUAUUUUUGUGUUUCCAAAUAAAAUAGUUAUGAAUUUUAAAACUAAAAGGGAAUAAAAGAAAAAUAAAACAGAAAUUAGAAAAUAAGGAAAAUCAGCGCCCCUUGGAUCAAUUUCAUUAAUUGAUGUGGCAACAUCCAAGGAUUCAGAAGAGCGUUCCCACCAUGGUCAUGAGUCAAACAUGAAGCAAACUGAAUUAAAAAAGGUCAAAUGAAACAAAGGCCAUGAUUAG